rnacentral:rRNA from 1 species
AUGUACGAGAUGAUCCAUCGACCUAUCUGGAUGCAUCUUGCAAUCUCGCUGGAAGUGCUUCAUAAACCUCGGGUGUGGGGGCUGGCGCGAGGGAGGAGGGCACUAGUUGCCGGCGAAGAUAAGAAACUAGAGCAGCUCCACCAGGAGUUCGACAAGCUGCGCACCGAGCUGGUCGAGGUGAAGAAGCGCAUGGAGCGCAAGGAGGAGAUCAUAGCGAAAGACCGUGACGCGGGAGACCGGAUAGUGGCUUGGGUCGACCCGAACGUGCGGGACAUGGGGGGCGAGGACAUGGCGGCCUUCUUUGCCAUGCUGAUGUGUAGAAAAUUCCGCGCCAACCAAGAUCUCCACGAGGAGAUGCAUGUCGACAUGAGCUGCAUGGUGGAGGGGUUCACCUCCGAGGUUAAUAUGCAGAAGCGCAUGGUGAUGGAGCUGCCUCCGGCAAAGCAGGUCACCGCCGGGAUGGAUAUGCAAGAGAUGCCUCCGCCACCGGGAUUCGCCACGGGCAUGGAUAUGGAGGAGAUGCAGAUAGCGAUUCCUCAGCCGCCAGGGUUGGACAACGAGAUGGGGAUGCAAAUGGCGAUACAUUAG